rnacentral:rRNA from 1 species
UACGGGGGGGGCAAGCGUUGUCCGGAAUCAUUGGGCGUAAAGCGCGUGUAGGCGGCUCGGUAAGUCUGCUGUGAAAGUCCAGGGCUCAACCCUGGGAUGCCGGUGGAUACUGUCGAGCUCGAGUCCGGAAGAGGCGAGUGGAAUUCCUGGUGUAGCGGUGAAAUGCGCAGAUAUCAGGAGGAACACCAAUGGCGAAGGCAGCUCGCUGGGACGUGACUGACGCUGAGACGCGAAAGCGUGGGGAGCAAACAGG